UCCUGACAACAGUUCCUGGGAAAAUGGCAUGGAAGACCAUAGAAUCCACAGUUUUGGGCUGCACCCAUCCAGUGAGGAAUCGGUCCCAGCUGUUCUAACUAGGACACUGUGUCCCUCAUCGCUGCCAUCAUCAUCAUCAUCGACCUCGUGGGAGUCGGUGUCUGGAAGCUCCGAUCCGGGAAGAGGGAGGGGAAUGGAUACGACCCCGCGCCCACCAGAAUCACAGCCUGAGUGAUCCUGGAGCUGGAUCCGCCCC